rnacentral:misc_RNA from 1 species
GAUAAGAACGUAGCGAAAUGCGAUAAGUAAUGUGAAUUGCAGAAUUCAGUGAAUCAUCGAAUCUUUGAACGCACAUUGCGCCCCUUGGUAUUCCGAGGGGCAUGCCUGUUCGAGCGUCAUUUCAACCCUCAAGCACAGCUUGGUCUUGGGCUUCGCCGCUAACCCGGCGGGUCUUAAAAUCAGUGGCGGUGCCGUCGGGCCCUGAGCGCAGUAAUCUCUCUCGCUAUAGGGUCCCGGCGGAUGCUGGCCAGUAACCCCCAAUUUUCUAUGGUUGACCUCGGAUCAGGUAGGGAUACCCGCUGAACUUAAGCAUAUCAAUAAGCGGAGGA